rnacentral:rRNA from 1 species
GACGAACGCUGGCGGCGUGCUUAACACAUGCAAGUCGAACGAUGAACUUGGAGCUUGCUCUGGGGGAUUAGUGGCGAACGGGUGAGUAACACGUGAGUAACCUGCCCUGGACUCUGGGAUAACUUCGAGAAAUCGGAGCUAAUACCGGAUAGGACCUUGCACCGCAUGGUGUGGGGUGGAAAGUUUUUCGGUUUGGGAUGGACUCGCGGCCUAUCAGCUUGUUGGUGAGGUAAUGGCUCACCAAGGCGUCGACGGGUAGCCGGCCUGAGAGGGUGACCGGCCACACUGGGACUGGGACACGGCCCAGACUCCUACGGGAGGCAGCAGUGGGGAAUAUUGGACAAUGGGCGAAAGCCUGAUCCAGCAACGCCGCGUGAGGGAUGACGGCCUUCGGGUUGUAAACCUCUUUCAGCAGGGACGAAGCGCAAGUGACGGUACCUGCAGAAGAAGCACCGGCCAACUACGUGCCAGCAGCCGCGGUAAAAC